CCAGCAACAAGUAACCAAAUAGAUACCCACCAUGCCUUUUGCUCUGCACUCAGUAAAUAAUAAUUUGUGAAUGUGUAGCAAAAGACAGGAUGGGGAUCCAUUAAAUCCCAAGGAUGACGAC
rnacentral:pre_miRNA from 7 species